GGGACGUCGGCGCCUCCGAGCGGGAAGAGGGAGCGAAGGGAAAAGGCCGCGGCGCUGCCGGGAGGAGACGGAAACGAGCGGGGCCCGCGUCGGCUCGGCGCCCGCCCCCUGCGCCACCCGCCAUGGCGAGGAGGCCCCGCGGCCCCUGAGGCGAGGCGCGCGCGCGGCCCCAGCCCGUAGCCCCCUCCCGGCCGCCAUCAGCGGAGAGAAGCCGCCCGCCUCCGCCGCAACAUGGAGGCCGUCAAAGCCUUUAACAGCGAGUUGUACUCGCUAAAUGAUUAUAAGCCACCCAUUUCUAAAGCUAAGAUGACGCAGAUCACCAAGGCAGCAAUCAAGGCUAUAAAGUUCUACAAGCACGUUGUACAGAGUGUUGAGAAAUUCAUUCAAAAGUGCAAACCUGAAUACAAGGUACCUGGUCUGUAUGUCAUUGACUCCAUUGUGAGACAGUCCCGGCAUCAGUUUGGACAAGAAAAGGAUGUGUUUGCUCCAAGAUUCAGCAAUAACAUCAUCAGCACUUUCCAGAACUUGUACCGUUGUCCUGGGGACGACAAGAGUAAAAUUGUUAGAGUGCUAAAUUUAUGGCAGAAGAAUAAUGUGUUCAAGAGUGAAAUUAUUCAGCCUCUCUUGGAUAUGGCAGCAGGAAUUCCUCCUCCGGUUGUGACCCCUGUCUUGCCCAGCACUACAGCGGCUAUGAGCAACAAUACACCAGGAACACCUGUGACUCCAGUUACUCCAGCCAAUGUGGUACAGAAUUUACCUGAUCCCUGGGUAUCUCAGAUUGCUAAUACAGAUACGCUUGCUGCCGUUGCACAAAUUUUACAGAGUCCUCAAGGCCAACAGCUUCAGCAGUUGAUACAGACACUGCAGAUACAGCAGCAGAAACCUCAGCCUUCACUGCUUCAAGCCCUGGAUGCUGGUCUUGUCGUUCAGUUACAGGCGCUCACGGCACAACUUACAGCUGCAGCUGCUGCUGCUAACACGCUUAAUCCACUGGAACAGAGUGUCUCAUUUAAUAAGAAGCUGAUGGACCGGUUUGACUUUGGGGAAGAAUCUGAACAAAAUGAAGAGCCUAAAAAGGAAACUUCUGCGUCCCAGCUGCCUUUAGUACCAGAAUCUGUGAACAACUCACUUUUUCACCAACUAGCUGAACAGCUACAGCAACAAAAUUUAGAACAUCUCAGACAACAGCUUCUGGAGCAACAGCAGCCUCAAAAGGCAAGCCCUGAGGAGAAUCAAGAAGGAAAUUUUGGUUCAGAGCACUCAGCUUCGCCAUCACAAGGGAGUAGUCAACAGCAGUUUUUAGAAGUGGAAACAAAUGUAGAUGAUUCAAUGGAUAUUCAACAGCAGGACAUGGAUAUAGAUGAAGGACAGGAUGUUGCUGAAGAAGAGAUUUUUGAACAAGAAGAAAAGAAAUCAGCUGUUCGUUCAAGAUCAAGAACUCGCUCACGAUCUCGUUCAAGGUCACCAAGAAAACGAAGGUCUAGAUCACGGUCUGGUUCUCGUAAGCGUAAACACAGAAAACGUUCACGGUCAAGAUCAAGAGAAAGGAAGAGAAAGUCGUCUCGGUCAUAUUCCAGUGAAAGAAGGGCUAGGGAAAGGGAAAAAGAACGUCAGAAAAAGGGAUUGCCUCCGAUACGGUCAAAAACACUAAGUGUUUGCAGUACUACUCUUUGGGUAGGUCAAGUAGACAAGAAGGCUACACAACAAGAUUUAACAAACUUGUUUGAAGAAUUUGGACAAAUAGAGUCAAUUAAUAUGAUUCCCCCAAGAGGUUGUGCUUACGUCUGUAUGGUUCAUAGACAAGACGCAUAUCGUGCUCUCCAGAAACUUAGUUCUGGGUCCUAUAAAAUUGGAUCUAAAAUCAUUAAGAUUGCCUGGGCUUUGAAUAAAGGUGUAAAAACAGAAUACAAACAAUUCUGGGAUGUGGAUCUGGGUGUUUCAUAUAUUCCUUGGGAGAAAGUAAAAUUGGAUGAUUUGGAGGGCUUUGCUGAAGGUGGCAUGAUUGACCAGGAAACAGUGAAUACAGAAUGGGAAACAACCAGAAGCUCUGAAGCUGCUAAAGAAAAUGUUCAAACUACACAGAGUGCUGCAGUUGAUAAGAGUACAGUUAUUACAAUGCAGACAGAGGCUUACACGCAACCAGUCACUAUGCUGCAGAUUCCAGUAGCUCCAGCUGUCCCUGCUGUUAGCUUGGUUCCACCUGCAUUUCCUGUCACAAUGUCUGUCCCUCCACCUGGUUAUAGUCCAAUUCCUCCUCCACCCUUCUUGCGAGCAAGUUUCAACCCUUCACAGCCGCCUCCAGGUUAUUUGCCUCCCCCAGUUCCGCCUGUGGUCCCACCACCUGUAGUCCCACCACCUGUAGUCCCACCAGUUGUUCCAACACCUUUAGUACAGCCUCCAUUACCAAUUGCACAAGAGACGAUGAAGGAUGUUCCUUUUACUAGCCUCGUUCUACCAGUUGGCACAGUUACUAGCAAUCUAGCUACUCCAACAUUAUCUACUGGAAAUGUUUUUAAUCCUCUGCCAAUCAACAAACCAGAAUCAGAUGAAAAGGGAUCUCAUCUUACAGACCUUCAGAUUUCUUCUACUGAAAACGGUAGAUCUGUGCAAAGUGAUGUCUCGAGUAGCUCUGGACUUGGAGGAGUGCAACCACCCAGCGUCUCAAGCAGUUCUGGGCUUCCCGGAGAAGGGCAACCACCCAGUGUCUCAAGUAGCUCAGGACUUGCAGGGGGCGUACAGCCACCGAGUGUCUCAAGCAGCUCUGGACCUACUGUAGGAGGAGUGCAGCCACCAACUGUUUCGAGCAGUUCUAGUCUUGCAGGAGGAGUGCAGCUACCUGCUGUCUCCAGUAGCUCUUCUCUUGCUGGCGGAGUUCCACCAACCAGCGUCUCAAGUAGCUCGGGACUUAUGGCUGGAGUGCAACCACCAAAUGUCUCAAGUAGCUCAGGGCUUCUAGCUGGAGUGCAUCCACCCAGUGUCUCAAGCAGCCCUGGCCUUCUGACAGGAAUGCAGCCACCCAAUGUCUCAAGCAGCUCAGGAGUUCUGGCAGGAGUACAGCCACCAAGUGUCUCAAGCAACUCUGGGCUUCUCAUAAUGCCACCACCCAAUGUUUCAAGUAGUUCUGGACUUAUGGGAGUGCCACCACCAAAUAUUUCAGGUAGUUCUGGACUUCUGGCAAUGCAGCAUCCAGCUGGGGUUCAAAACAUGCCUCAUUUAAAUAUUAGUAAUCAAAGGAUGCCAGGAAUGCCUCUCAUAGAUAUCCGUCCAGGCCUAAUGCCCCAUUCGCCUGGACCAAGGUUUCCAUUAUUGCAGCCAGGAUUGCCACCACAGCGUGGUAUUCCUCCCCCAGCAAUCCUUGAUCCAUCUCUUCACCCACCACCUCGAGGUCCUUUUCCUCCAGGCGAUAUUUUUAAUCAGACAGAAAGGCCUUUUGGAACACCAGGAAGACAAAAUAUUGAUAGCAUUGCUAAUCCAGAGAAAAGACUACCACUUGGAGGUGAUAACAUUCAGCAGGAAGGAGACAGAGAUUAUCGCUUUCCUCCAGUGGAAAACCGAGAUAAUAUUAACAGACCAUCUCCAGUGGAUGUCAGAGAUUCUGUUGGACGACCACCAGUUGAUCCAAGAGAAGGUAUAGGAAGGCCUCCAGUAGAUGGAAGAGAACACUUUGCAAGACCACAUGUAGACAUGAGAGAAAAUUUCGGAAGACCAGGUAUUGAUAACCUUGGUCGAAGAGAACAUUUUGGUUUCAAUUCAGACAAGCACUGGGGACAGAGAGGAGAUUAUGAUGAAAGAGAGCACCAUGCCUUCCCUAUUUAUGGUGGCCCUAAAGGCUUCCAUGAAGACAGAGAGAGGUUUCGGCAUGUAAACUAUAGGUUUGAUAGAAGUGGUCCCAAUUGGAACAGAGGAUUUGAACAAGAUGCUCACAGAGAUUUUGAUGACCGCAGAAGACCCUGGGAAAGACAGAGGGAUAGGGAUGACAGAGAUUUUAAUUUUUGCAGAGAAAUUAAUGGGAACAGGUUUGGAAGAGACAGAAUGUCAAACAACUGGAUCCCUCCUCCACAUCCACGGGUUUUUGAAUAUUUUGAUGGGGCCACUUCCCAACGCAAAGCCGAUAAUAUGCCCCAGGUAAAUGGUGAAAAUACAGAGACAGAAAGUCAGCCACCAACUGCACAGGUGCAGGACGAUCCAGAACUUUAUGAAAAACUGACAUCAUCCAUCGAGAUAAACAAAGAGAAGAGUGACACAGAAGCUGAUAUAGAAAGUGAACCAGUGGUAGAAAGCACAGAAACUGAGGGGACAUAAUCAUCACUCAGUAGGUAAAAGAUACCUUUUGUAAAGUUGUCAUCUCUCUGUAAUAGAUAAAUGGCUGACUGGACCGUAGCAGUUCACUUUUGUCUGCCAGAAUUAAGUUAAUCUGAUGUUCAUGUUCAUCUUUCACUUAAAUAACUGUACAACUGACUUGUAUAGAACACUGUUCUUAAUUUGAACAUGGAAAUAUGAAGGAGUUUCUGGCAGCUUACCAUGUCCCGGGCUCUGCAGAAUUAAGUGAGGAGUGCGCCCAUGUUCUAGCGUGCAUCACAUCGCGUCUUGGGUCUGAAGUGCCAGAAGGAUCCCAGCGCUGCAGACUGAGACGGCUCUGAGCACCUCAGUACCCUGUUUCUGACAGAACCCAGGGAUGGCAAACUUACAUACCAGUAUUACCUGUCUGGGGCAGGUUUAAUUUUAUAAAUUAAAACCAUAAACUCUAUGAGUUUCUAGACUAUAUUUGUGCUGUUGAGGAUGAUCUGCUCAGAUGAACAGUUUUGCAUCCAUCGAAGAGACAGGUUCUUCUGCUGGACCAGAAGAUGACAAUGGACUGUAUAUUGUAACAAAUACCAUUUGUAGUAUCUGCUAGUGCAAAUAAUUGAAGAACAGGUUGCAAGAAAAUCCUGUAGGGAAUAAGACAUGCUUCGUUUUGAUCUACAAAUUUUUAAAAAUGUUCUGUUUUUUUAAAGAUAAACACUUUUACAUAACACUAUGUGCGUAGUCUAUGUGCAGCUCUUCACUGUGGCUAUCUGUAUUCCAGAGAUGAUGAAUUCCUUGUGAGACACUUGAACACUUUUAGGUUUGUGAUGAAUCCUUAAAUUACGAGAGUAUCAUGAAAAACUGGGAGGGAAAAGUUCCAGGGCUUGUAUUUGACUAGAUAUCUCCAGUUACUUUCUGUUACUGUCCUGAAAGGAGGAAGGAAGGGCAGAGAGUAGAAAUUAAAUAAAGAAAAAAUAUAUUGCAUUUCUCUUCUGGCGUAUGCACCUAUCUGAAUGUGUGUUUGAUCUAAUAGCCAAGGGGAGAGAAACAGCUAAGCCAUGACAUGAAAGGUCUGCGUUUUCGGGUAGUAUUUGCUAAUUUUGUCUCUUGAAUAGCUAUAGACAAGAUGGAAUAUGUAUAUGCCCCACUAUGUGUUGAAAGGACAUACUUGCCAUUCCUUUAUUUAUUUUUGCUCAUUCAAAAAAUUAAAGUGCCAGUUAUUUGGAAUGCUGUAGUCUUGUGGUCUCUUUAACAUUUGUUUAGUGAGAUCCUUUCAGUAAGAUCAUUCCCAUUACAGUGUAACUGCAUGGUCACCACAGCUUU